UUUGACAGCAGGCCUGUGAGAAAGGCUGUGCAAGCACAGAGAGAGAACACCGCAAAGCUGGUAGGAAGACCGACUUCGCUGCUCUUGGGUACUCUUAUUCCUAGUUCUUCCCCUCCCACCGAUCUUCUGCCUCUCAAGCAACAGCCAGGUACCUGAACAGUGCGGCCAUCUCUCCUACACUCUGGCUAGGAUCCACAGCCAGAACCUACUGCACAGUGAGCGCCCAUCUCUCUGCAUCUCCGAGUCUUCCUCUAUCUCUUCUGUGGCUCUGGGGCCUCAAGCAGGAUUGCAAGGUUGGGCCUGAAUGGUGGAAACGACAGCUUCCAGGCCUCUUCCAGAAAUGUACAUCCUUGGCUUCCUUCGAGUGCUGAUCGUUUCCUUUGUAAAGCAAAGGAGCAGAUAACUUGUUCUGGAGUUGCGGCUGUGAGCUCAACCAUAGCUUGGAAUCUCUGUGUCAUACCUCUGCUCCUCCUGAUUGAGGGAGGCCCAGCUAAGGCAUCCCCCUUGUUGAGGAACUGAAGAACUUCAGCCUUUCUAUCUGUGUGCUUCUGGAACACUUCUAUGAGUGUUUGACUAGCAGAGGGGCUGCCUGACUUCAAGGGGUUCAGGGGGCGCUGACUGCAGAGCAAGGCAGUCCACCUCUAAAGAUGCAGAUGGUAACUUCUACACGUUUCUACAGCACUGGGUUUUCAGUCAGACCGGAAGUGCUGAAUAACUGCUUUGUCACUCCCUGUGUGCUCAGGAGAUUUCAAUCUGCAGCGGAAGCAACUCCAUCAUUCAGAUCUUCUCUACAGAGGAUAGCAACAGGAUCCUCGGCACAAUUUUGCUUAUUCUGUACUUGAACUUCAAGUAUUACCAGAUAGAUAAAGUUACGGGGAGGAUGGGCCCGAGUGUGGGUAAGGUGUCUGCAUAUGUUUGGGUGGGAUAGGAUACUUCUGGCGCCCACCUCCUGGCCUGGUUUGCUUGCAACCAAGCCUGUCUGCUUGGCUCUGAAUGCUCAAGUCAGCUCUACUUCCAGGAGAGCAUGCUCUUUGUGCCCUCGUGGUGAGCCACCUACAGCCAACAGUUUCCACAGUUUCCAUAAAACAUCUUCAUGAGGAAGCCGUACAGUAAAAAAAAAAAAAAAAAAAAAA